AAGACAUAAUUUAUUCCGCCUGGCUGGCCUGGCAGGCAGGCCCUAAGAGGAUAGAGGUGGAGAACUGGAAAGAGCGCUCCUAAAUUUUGCCCCCUUCAAGGCAGUUGGGCCGCAUCUAGAAUAGGUGUUUGAUAGGCAGGACGUGGAAGGCCCGUAAGGGCCGGAGCUGACCUGUACUAAAGGCCGAAAGGUUUUCUUCA
rnacentral:rRNA from 1 species